AGAGUUUGAUCAUGGCUCAGAGCGAACGCUGGCGGCGUACUUAACACAUGCAAGUCGAACGAGGAUCAUCGGUGUAGCAAUACAUUGCUGGUCCUAGUGGCGCACGGGUGAGUAACACGUGGGUAACCUGCCCUUGAGUUCGGGAUACCCCCUCGAAAGGGGGGCUAAUACCGGAUACGUUCCUCGGAUCGACAGGUCUGGGGAGGAAAGGUGGCGCAAGCUGCCGCUCUUGGAGGGGCUCGCGGCCUAUCAGCUAGUUGGCGGGGUAACGGCCCACCAAGGCUAUGACGGGUAGCUGGUCUGAGAGGACGACCAGUCACACGGGGACUGAGACACGGCCCCGACUCCUACGGGAGGCAGCAGUGGGGAAUUUUCCGCAAUGGGCGAAAGCCUGACGGAGUGACGCCGCGUGUGGGACGAAGGCCUUCGGGUCGUAAACCACUGUCAGUGGGAAAGAAGGGUGUCGGUGCUAAUACCACCGGCAUUUGACGGUACCUGCAGAGGAAGCCCCGGCCAACUCUGUGCCAGCAGCCGCGGUAAGACAGAGGGGGCAAGCGUUGCUCGGAAUUACUGGGCGUAAAGGGCGCGUAGGCGGGAUGGCAAGUCGGUCGUGAAAUCCUUCGGCUCAACCGAAGAACGUCGAUCGAUACUGCUGUUCUUGAGGAUUGCAGAGGAGACUGGAAUUCCCGGUGUAGCGGUGAAAUGUGUAGAGAUCGGGAGGAACACCGGUGGCGAAGGCGGGUCUCUGGGCAAUUCCUGACGCUGAGGCGCGAAAGCGUGGGGAGCAAACGGGAUUAGAUACCCUAGUAGUCC
rnacentral:rRNA from 1 species